rnacentral:rRNA from 1 species
GAUGAACGCUGGCGGCGUGUCUAAGGCAUGCAAGUCGAACGGACUGUUAUUUGUAGCAAUACUUAGAACAGUUAGUGGCAAACGGGUGCGUAACACAUUGGUAACCUGCCUCAAAGUCGGGCAUAAUCCCGCGAAAGUGGGACUAAUUCCACGAUGGUCAUCGAAGGUGAGAUUCCUUCGAUGUAAAGUCGCAAGACGCUUUGAGAGGGGCCUAUGGCCUAUCAGCUUGUUGGUGAGGUAACGGCUCACCAAGGCUAUGACGGGUAGGGGGUGUGAGAGCACGACCCCCCUCACUGGGACUGAGACACUGCCCAGACACCUACGGGUGGCUGCAGUCGAGAAUAUUCCCCAAUGGCCGAAAGGCUGAGGGAGCGACGCCGCGUGCAGG